UCAUAUGCUUGUCUCAAAGAUUAAGCCAUGCAUGUGCAAGUACAAACCGUGCUACACGGUGAAACCGCGAAAGGCUCAUUAAAUCAGUCAUGGUUCCUUAGAUGGUACACGAGUUACAUGGAUAACUGUGGUAAUUCUAGAGCUAAUACAUGCCAACGUUGAGUUCCGAUCACCGCCCGGAGUUCGCUUCGGGCGUCCGGUCGGGACGCUUUUAUUAGAUCAAGAUCGGCCAGGCGUUCGGCUCCGUGCCGUUCGCUUGCGGCCCGCGCAAUGACUUGGUGACUCUGAAUAACUUUGAGCUGAUUGGACACUGGCCUUCGGGCCGUACCGACGCAUCUUUCAAAUGUCUGCCUUAUCAACUUUCGACGGUAGGUUCGACGCCUACCGUGGUGGUAACGGGUGACGGGGAAUCAGGGUUCGAUUCCGGAGAGGGCGCCUGAGAGAUGGCGACCACUUCUAAGGAAGGCAGCAGGCGCGCAAAUUACCCACUCCCGGAAUGGGGAGGUAGUGACGAAAAAUAGUGAUGCAGGACUCUUAUGAGGACCUGUAAUCGCAAUGAGUACACUUUAAAACCUUGGUCCACGAGGAUCAAUUGGAGGGCAAGU
rnacentral:rRNA from 1 species